UUUAAAAGUUAUCAUACAUAUUUUUAAGUUACUGAAAAGUAUCUCAGGUAGAAGGUAUUCAGAAAAACAAAAUAAUUUUGGACAUUGAACAAGUAACCAUGGUAACAAAUCAUGCCUUAAUUGGCAUAUUUUGUAAAAUUUUGUGAUUUUCCUUGUUUUUCAUCAAAUUUUUAAGUAUAUUUUCGAUUUCAAAAGUAUGUGCGCACCCAAGAAACAACUUUAUAUUUGGUGAGAUUUUGUCAAUAGUAAUAAUAAAGCUUCAGUUAAAUUAUUUUGUUGUUUCUUGGCUGCGCACGAUGUUUUCACAACAGAAAUAAAGAUAGAAAACUGCAUAAAUUCUGAAUUUUCAUCGUUUUUGUGAAAACAGUACAUAUUAUGACGUAAUUGUGACGUCAUCACAUAAGAAUCUUAAUGUUUUUCAUUUAUAUUUCUUAACCCUAUGCAUUUCUAAAGAUUAUGUGCCAAUUUGAAAAAGUUAUCAAACAUUUUAUUUUCUUGGGCCAAAACCAGGCCUUAAUGCCCCUACUCCUUUUAUUGGGGAGACAUUAAUUAAAACUAACAGUCAUUUCCUUCUAUGCUAUCUGUAGAAAUAUUUGAGUUACUUCCCUUGACACCAUCUGAAAAAAAAAGUUUUGAUGAUUCGAUGAUUCAGAAUAAAACUUUGCCCUAUAAGAAACAAUCUACAAACAAUCACAUGCUUAACUCACUUAAAAUUAAUUACCAACAAGUGUGUACCUUUUGAAGAGUAAUACGACCAAAAAUCUACACCCAA
rnacentral:lncRNA from 1 species